rnacentral:rRNA from 1 species
CGCGAAGAACCUUACCUGGUCUUGACAUCCCGGAGACCUUAGGAACUAGGGGUGCUUCCAUCUGGAAGAAUCUGGAGACAGGUGCUGCAUGGCUGUCGUCAGCUCGUGUCGUGAGAUGUUGGGUUAAGUCCCGCAACGAGCGCAACCCUUGCCUUUAGUUGCCAGCAGUUCGGCUGGGCACUCUAAAGGGACUGCCGGUGUUAAACCGGAGGAAGGUGGGGAUGACGUCAAGUCCUCAUGGCCUUUAUGACCAGGGCUACACACGUAUUACAAUGGCCGAUACAAAGGGCAGCGACACUGCGAGGUGAAGCCAAUCCCGUAAAAUCGGUCUCAGUCCGGAUUGGAGUCUGCAACUCGACUCCAUGAAGUUGGAAUCGCUAGUAAUCGUGGAUCAGCAUGCCACGGUGAAUACGUUCCCGGGCCUU